rnacentral:rRNA from 1 species
UAAGGAAUAUUGCGCAAUGGGCGAAAGCCUGACGCAGCGACGCCGCGUGGGGGAUGAAGGUCUUCGGAUUGUAAACCCCUUUCGGGAGGGAAGAUGGAACGAGCAAUCGUUCGGACGGUACCUCCAGAAGCAGCCACGGCUAACUUCGUGCCAGCAGCCGCGGUAAUACGAAGGUGGCAAGCGUUGUUCGGAUUUACUGGGCGUACAGGGAGCGUAGGCGGUUCGGUAAGCCCUCUGUGAAAUCUCCAGGCUUAACCUGGAACAGUCGGAGGGGACUGCUGGGCUAGAGGACGGGAGAGGAGCGCGGAAUUCCCGGUGUAGCGGUGAAAUGCGUAGAGAUCGGGAGGAAGGCCGGUGGCGAAGGCGGCGCUCUGGAACGUUUCUGACGCUGAGGCUCGAAAGCGUGGGGAGCAAACAGG